rnacentral:rRNA from 1 species
AUUGAACGCUGGCGGCGUGGCUAAAGCAUGCAAGUCGAGCGAACCCGCAAGGGUGAGCGGCGGACGGGUUAGUAAUACGAUCGAACGUGCCCUGAGGCGGGGGAUAGGCGUGGGAAACUGCGCGUAAUACCCCAUGAUCUCUCCGGAGCAAAGGUUUACCACCUUGGGAUCGGCGAUCGUCCUAUCAGCUAGUUGGCGGGUAAAGCCCACCAAGGCUAUGACGGGUAGCAGGUGNGAGAGCACGACCUGCAACAUCGGGACUGAGACACUGCCCGGACUCCUACGGGAGGCUGCAGCGACGAAUCUUCCGCAAUGGGCGCAAGCCUGACGGAGCGACGCCGCGUGUGGGAUGAAGCGCCUUCGGCGUGUAAACCACUGUCA